UAUUAUAUUUGUAUACAACAAAAAAGUUAGCGAAAGAAAUGUUAUAAAUCUGAACUGACUUUAGCCGAACAAAAUUACAAGAUACUUGGCGCUUUUUUGUUUGUCGCUUUUCAUAUGGCAUGAAUACAACGAUUUAUUUCGUAUUCCUUUUAAAAUUCGAAGUAACACUCAGAACUGCUCGUUUAUCGCGUUCAGGUGUAACAGAAGGUCUCUCAUUCCUUUUAGUUUUCCUAUAAGCUCCUGGCGUUUUUAAUACAACAUAUACCAGUAUUGUCCAUCGCUAGCUAUACAUUUUUCCCACCUGUCUGGCAAUUGGUGGA
rnacentral:lncRNA from 1 species